rnacentral:rRNA from 1 species
GACGAACCGUCCAAACGUUGUUCGGAAUCACUGGGCUUAAAGGGCUCGUAGGCGGCCAACUAAGUCAGACGUGAAAUCCCUCGGCUUAACCGGGGAACUGCGUCUGAUACUGGAUGGCUUGAGUUUGGGAGAGGGAUGCGGAAUUCCAGGUGUAGCGGUGAAAUGCGCAGAUAUCAGGAAGAACACCUAUGGCGAAGGCAGCACUCUGGGACGGUACUGACGCUGAGACGCGAAAGCGUGGGGAGCGAACAGG